UGAACAUGGAGAGAAGUGGAGGAAAAAGGAUUUACAACAUCCCUCCUAGGUCAAAGCGCAUUACUGAUGUUAUCAACCCAACAAUCUUCAAACCCAACGUUGAAGGAAAUCCUUCAAAGAACAAAGAGCUGCACCAGAACCUCAGAGUGUGGCUGAAGAUUAUUCUGGGAACCAUUCACCACCGUCCAGCCUCUAACUCUUCUGACUACAUCAAU
rnacentral:lncRNA from 1 species